rnacentral:rRNA from 1 species
GAUGAACGCUAGCGGCAGGCUUAAUACGUGCAAGUCGAGGGGCAUCAAGGUACACGAAAGUGUAUUGUUGGCGACCGGCGGACGGGUGAGUAAUAGGUAGGUAACCUACCUCAUACUGAGGCAUAGCUGGGAGAAAUUCCAGGUAAUUCCUCAUGAGGUUAUAUGACACAUGUGAUAUAAUCAAAGGUAUCGCAAGGUACUGGUAUGAGAUGGGCUUACUGACCAUUAGCUAGUUGGUGAGAUAAGAGCUCACCAAGGCGAAGAUGGUUAGGGGUUUUGAGAGAGAGAUCCCCCACAUUGGAACUGAGAUACGGUCCAGACUCCUACGAGAGGCAGCAGUAGGGAAUAUUGGGCAAUGGACGGAAGCCUGACCCAGCCAUGCCGCGUGAAGGAAGACGGCCUUAUGGGUUGUAAACUUCUUUACUAUGCGACUAACUAGAUUUACGAGAUAAUUCUAUAGAAUGUAGCAUAGCAAAAAGCAACCGG